rnacentral:rRNA from 1 species
CCCUUAGAUGUUCUGGGCCGCACGCGCGCUACACUGACGAAUGCAACGAGCUUAUAUCCUUGGCCGAAAGGUCUGGGUAAUCUCCAAAUUUCGUCGUGAUGGGGAUAGAUUAUUGCAAUUAUUAAUCUUCAACGAGGAAUGCCUAGUAAGCGCAAGUCAUCAGCUUGCGUUGAUUACGUCCCUGCCCUUUGUACACACCGCCCGUCGCUCCUACCGACUGAAUGGUCCGGUGAAGCGUUCGGACCGUGGCCUUUGGACGGUUCGCCGUCUGUUGGCUGCGGGAAGUUCGUUAAACCUUAUCAUUUAGAGGAAGGAGAANUCGUANCA